GACGAACGCUGGCGGCGUGCCUAUUCCAUGCAAGUGGAACGCACAGUUUAUACGGUAGCUUGUUACACAAUAAACGGGGAGUUGCGAAGGGGUGAGUAACGCGUAGGUAACCUGCCUGGUAGCGGGGGAUAACUAUUGGAAACGAUAGCUAAUACCGCAUAAUAUUGAUUAUUGCAUGAUAAUUGAUUGAAAGAUGCUAUUGCAUCACUACCAGAUGGACCUGCGUUGUAUUAGCUAGUAGGGGAGGUAACGGCUCACCUAGGCGACGAUACAUAGCCGACCUGAGAGGGUGAUCGGCCACACUGGGACUGAGACACGGCCCAGACUCCUACGGGAGGCAGCAGUAGGGAAUCUUCGGCAAUGGACGAAAGUCUGACCGAGCAACGCCGCGUGAGUGAAGAAGGUUUUCGGAUCGUAAAGCUCUGUUGCAAGAGAAGAACGGGUGUGAGAGUGGAAAGUUCACACUGUGACGGUAUCUUACCAGAAAGGGACGGCUAACUACGUG
rnacentral:rRNA from 1 species